GUAGGAAUGUAGCUAGCUAUGCAAACAGAAAGUACAGCCCAUGGAAGAUGGUUCUGAAGGCAGCCGCCCAAAGGAGAUGAGACCACAAGAGCUGGUAAGACUUUCAACCAGAACCCAGCCUCGAUCCCUCCAUGGAAGAUGAGCUAGGUCACCACUGACCUGGCAUGAAUAGGAGCCAGUCAGCAAGAGGGGCACCUGGAAGAGUGCUGGAGAAGGAAAAUGGUUACGUCUAAAGGUCUUUCCCAUCACGUUUGGCACCCUGAAUGAUCUGCUGAAACAGAAAUCCAUUUCUUUUUUAUUAUUGGAGAAUUCAUUUGUAAUCAUCAGUUUGGUUUAAAGAACACAGCAUGGAAGACAGAAUUUACAUCGACAUCACAAGGCUGCUGACUUGAGGAUGCUUGGAAUGAAGAACAGCUGAAGUGUUCCGUAUAACAGACUCACGGGAAGAUCUGCCCUAGACACUUCCUGCUGUGUACCCUGACCCACCCUACUCCCAAGAAAGACAAGCCGCCACAAAGUACCAGGUUAGAGUAUAAUCACCGAGUUCCCUCUGUGCAACCACCCAACUUCUAGGAAAGAGAGAGCAAGGAGAGAGAGACUGGACUUUUGAUCGAAGACUCAAUGGAAUGGGGGCAGUGUGUGGGUCCACAUGAUUUCUCAAGUCUUCCUUCUGCACAGUCGUUAGACUAACGCCCAGGUUAUAAACAUGCACAGUGCUGCCCCUUUUAAAUUGAGGAGAGAAAAGAAAGAAAGACAGAAAAACCACACAAAUACUGCAAAGUAGAAAAAUACAAAGAAAAAAAAAGCUACUUUCGGUUUUGGCAACAUUAAAAAGGAUGAGACAUAGAGCAGAGGUGGCCCUGGCCCGGUCAUCAGGUCUUCGCCAGCUGCUGCUCCAACUUGGAAAUGCACUCGUCUUGACUGCAGGUUGUUUCCUUUAUGGAUUUGAUCUCUUUCAGAAUCUCAUCCACCUUGGCUUCGUUUUGCACACUGGCCAUGUCUGUGGGCUUCUUGGGGGCACAGUUGAGAUUGCUCUUCUUGUUUGCAGCCAGCUUGCCGUCCAGAAUGUUCUUCUUGACCACCUUGAAAUCCCCGUUCUUGCCUGGAAUGUACCCGUGCUUCAACGAUAUGAGGAUGGGGUCUGUCUGCAUUCUUCCCCCUCAAACCACUCCUCGGCCUCAAGGGCAACUUCCGGCCCCGCUGUGUCAGGGUACAGGUCGUCUUGGAAGAGGUCAGACUUCCUGGGGACCGUCAUGAUAAUGGGCUCGUACUAUCUCUCAUGAAGCUUGAAGAAUCUGGCAAUCUCACACUUGUUGACGUCAAGGCCCCGCUUGGGCAUGUAGCCCAUCCCUCACUGAGGCUCCUUGCCGCUGAAUGUGUGGAGGUAGUGGACAUAUGGGAAUUCAUCCGCGGACACUGCUGUCACCCUUCCCACAUAAGUAGAUGAUGCUGGUGUCUGGGUCGUAGAAGGAGAGCAGCACUCCAUUGCUAGUGUCCAUUUCAUGGAGAGCAUUGGUUUCUGCAUGUUUUUUUGGGUUCC
rnacentral:lncRNA from 1 species